CUUUCUCAAAGACACUAUUUAAACAUGCUGAUGAACUGAGCUGGAUUUUUCCCCACCUCCAUUCCAGCAAAAUAAGGAGACACAGAAGAUCAAAUUUGUUUUGUUAUUAGAGCUGAGAUGCUGUUUCCUGGGAUCUGUUUAUCUGGAAAACUCAUUUGUGCCUCAUCAUACAUGAGAUGGACAGAGCUACCACGUUUUACCCUGCUGAUAUCACAUUUCAGCUGUAUAGGGGGAGCACCAAUUUUCUCACAUUGCUUGAGAUGGCUGAUAAAGAAGACAACAAGUAUUCUGGACUGCCAUAUAAAGUUGUCUCCACACAUUCUUCCAUCACUGUUCAAGGUUUUGUCUCUGUGGUACAGAAAUGCAGGAACCUUAAAUAUAUUUUGAAUAUUUUUGGAAGCAGAAACAGAGGUUUAAUAAAAACUUCAAAUCAUUUUAUU
ensembl:lncRNA